AAGCGUGCGCAGGCGGUUUUGUAAGACUGUCGUGAAAUCCCCGGGCUCAACCUGGGAAUGGCGAUGGUGACUGCAAGGCUAGAGUUUGGCAGAGGGGGGUAGAAUUCCACGUGUAGCAGUGAAAUGCGUAGAUAUGUGGAGGAACACCGAUGGCGAAGGCAGCCCCCUGGGUCAAAAACUGACGCUCAUGCACGAAAGCGUGGGGAGCAAACAGGAUUAGAUACCCUAGU
rnacentral:rRNA from 1 species